CCCUGAAGUAAACCCAUGUUGUCGCUGAUCUUGAAAUCCAUGUGAUUUUAGAUGUUCAACAAUCCUAUCCUUUAACAUGGUUUCCAUCACUUUCCCCACUACUGAAGUAAGGCUUACUGGCCUAUAGUUGUCCGACUCCUCCCUAUUACCUUUCUUGUGAAUGGGCACAACAUUCGCUAACUUCCAAUCUUCUGGGACUACUCCUGUUAAUGAUUGGUUAAAUAAAU